UGGGGAAUAUUGCACAAUGGGCGCAAGCCUGAUGCAGCCAUGCCGCGUGUGUGAAGAAGGCCUUCGGGUUGUAAAGCACUUUCAGCGGGGAGGAAGGCGAUAAGGUUAAUAACCUUGUCGAUUGACGUUACCCGCAGAAGAAGCACCGGCUAACUCCGUGCCAGCAGCCGCGGUAAUACGGAGGGUGCAAGCGUUAAUCGGAAUUACUGGGCGUAAAGCGCACGCAGGCGGUCUGUCAAGUCGGAUGUGAAAUCCCCGGGCUCAACCUGGGAACUGCAUUCGAAACUGGCAGGCUAGAGUCUUGUAGAGGGGGGUAGAAUUCCAGGUGUAUCGAUGAAAUGCGUAGAGAUCUGGAGGAAAACCGGUGGCGAAGGCGGCCCCCUGGACAAAGACUGACGCUCAGGUGCGAAAGCGAGGGGAGCAAACAGG
rnacentral:rRNA from 1 species